rnacentral:tRNA from 1 species
GUGGGCAUAGCUCAGUUGGUUAGAGCGCAUGGUUGUGGUCCAUGAGGUCGCCGGUUCAAAUCCGGCUGUCCACCCCA